GGUCCCGCCUGCCCACUGAUAUUAUAUUCAACGGCCGCGGUAUUUUGACCGUGCUAAGGUAGCGUAAUCACUUGUCUUUUAAAUGAAGACCCGUAUGAAAGGCUUGACGAAGGCUUAACUGUCUCCUCUUUCCAGUCAAUGAAACUGAUCUCCCCGUGCAGACGCGGGGAUAAAAACAUAAGACGAGAAGACCCUAUGGAGCUUUAGACACAAAGACAGACUAUUUUAAACACCCCUAAACAAGCACUAAAUCUAGUAAGAACCUGUCCCCGUCUUAGGUUGGGGCGACCCUGGGGAAAUAAAAAACCCCCAUGUGGAGGGAGGACCUACCACUUACACCCUCUCAAAAACCCGAAACACAAUUCUAAUUAACAGAACUCUGACCAAACUGAUCNGCCAAAGCCGAUUAACGANACAAGUUACCCUAGGGAUAACAGCGCUAUCCCCUUUUAAAGUCCAUAUAGACAAGGGGGUUUACGACCUCGAUGUUGGAUCAGNACAUCCUAAUGGUGCAGCCGCUAUUAAGGGUUCGUUUGUUCAACGA
rnacentral:rRNA from 1 species